rnacentral:tRNA from 1 species
UGCCUGAUGGUGUAACGGUAGCACGAAUGAUUCUGGAUCAUUUAGUCUAGGUUCGAAUCCUAGUCGGGCAA